ACUCCUACGGGAGGCAGCAGUGGGAAUAUUGGACAAUGAGCGAAAGCUUGAUCCAGCAAUACCGCGUGAGUGAUGAAGGCCCUCGGGUUGUAAAGCUCUUUCACUGGGGAAGAUAAUGACGGUACCCAGAUAAGAAGCCCCGGCAAACUCCGUGCCAGCAGCCGCGGUAAUACGGAGGGGCUAGCGUUGUUCGGAAUUACUGGGCGUAAAGGGCGCGUAGGCGGCCUGUUAAGUCAGAUGUGAAAGCCCGGGGCUUAACCUCGGAAUUGCAUUUGAAACUGGCAGGCUAGAGUCUUGUAGAGGGGGGUAGAAUUUCAGGUGUAGCGGUGAAAUGCGUAGAGAUCUGAAGGAAUACCAGUGGCGAAGGCGGCCCCCUGGACAAAGACUGACGCUCAGAUGCGAAAGCGUGGGGAGCAAACAGGAUUAGAUACCCUGGUAGG
rnacentral:rRNA from 1 species